rnacentral:lncRNA from 1 species
UGUUCCAUUCCCUUGCGUUCAAACUCUCCCUGUAAUGCCAUUAUUGUUCAUGUGAUGAUUUCGAGCCCCAUGCUUCCCCUCAAAUGCCCGCAUCAUACCAACAACAGCCUUGCAUAAACCUGCAACAUCCAACAAGCCAUCAUCAAAUUACAAACAACAACAUCUUGCCUAUGAAGUAGUCCUGCAUAAACCCUAUACUAGCAGGCCAAUAACGACGACGUGAUAACCUGCAAAACCAUUUGUCGAAACUAAACCUCACAAGGAAGGGCUUUGCAUCACUUGCCACGAUCCUUCAACAACAGCUGUACGACAUCAAAU